GCGCUCUUAGUUCAGUUCGGUAGAACAUGUGUCUCCAAAACCCAAUGUCGUAGGUUCAAAUCCUACAGAGCGUG
rfam:Triticum aestivum genome assembly, contig: Triticum_aestivum_CS42_TGACv1_scaffold_152331_2BS